GGUUAAGCGACUAAGCGUACACGGUGGAUGCCCUGGCAGUCAGAGGCGAUGAAGGACGUGCUAAUCUGCGAAAAGCGUCGGUAAGGUGAUAUGAACCGUUAUAACCGGCGAUGUCCGAAUGGGGAAACCCAGUGCAAUUCGUUGCACUAUCGUUAACUGAAUACAUAGGUUAACGAGGCGAACCGGGGGAACUGAAACAUCUAAGUACCCCGAGGAAAAGAAAUCAACCGAGAUUCCCCCAGUAGCGGCGAGCGAACGGGGAGCAGCCCAGAGUCUGAAUCAGCUUGUGUGUUAGUGGAACGGUCUGGAAAGUCCGACGGUACAGGGUGAUAGUCCCGUACACCAAAAUGCACAGGUUGUGAACUCGAAGAGUAGGGCGGGACACGUGGUAUCCUGUCUGAAUAUGGGGGGACCAUCCUCCAAGGCUAAAUACUCCUGACUGACCGAUAGUGAACCAGUACCGUGAGGGAAAGGCGAAAAGAACCCCGGCGAGGGGAGUGAAAAAGAACCUGAAACCGUGUACGUACAAGCAGUGGGAGCACCUUUAUGGUGUGACUGCGUACCUUUUGUAUAAUGGGUCAGCGACUUAUAUUCUGUAGCAAGGUUAACCGUAUAGGGGAGCCGCAGGGAAACCGAGUCUUAACUGGGCGUUAAGUUGCAGGGUAUAGACCCGAAACCCGGUGAUCUAGCCAUGGGCAGGUUGAAGGUUGGGUAACACUAACUGGAGGACCGAACCGACUAAUGUUGAAAAAUUAGCGGAUGACUUGUGGCUGGGGGUGAAAGGCCAAUCAAACCGGGAGAUAGCUGGUUCUCCCCGAAAGCUAUUUAGGUAGCGCCUCGUGAACUCAUCUUCGGGGGUAGAGCACUGUUUCGGCUAGGGGGUCAUCCCGACUUACCAACCCGAUGCAAACUACGAAUACCGAAGAAUGUUAUCACGGGAGACACACGGCGGGUGCUAACGUCCGUCGUGAAGAGGGAAACAACCCAGACCGCCAGCUAAGGUCCCAAAGUCAUGGUUAAGUGGGAAACGAUGUGGGAAGGCACAGACAGCCAGGAUGUUGGCUUAGAAGCAGCCAUCAUUUAAAGAAAGCGUAAUAGCUCACUGGUCGAGUCGGCCUGCGCGGAAGAUGUAACGGGGCUAAACCAUGCACCGAAGCUGCGGCAGCGACACUAUGUGUUGUUGGGUAGGGGAGCGUUCUGUAAGCCUGCGAAGGUGACCUGUGAGGGUUGCUGGAGGUAUCAGAAGUGCGAAUGCUGACAUAAGUAACGAUAAAGCGGGUGAAAAGCCCGCUCGCCGGAAGACCAAGGGUUCCUGUCCAACGUUAAUCGGGGCAGGGUGAGUCGACCCCUAAGGCGAGGCCGAAAGGCGUAGUCGAUGGGAAACAGGUUAAUAUUCCUGUACUUGGUGUUACUGCGAAGGGGGGACGGAGAAGGCUAUGUUAGCCGGGCGACGGUUGUCCCGGUUUAAGCAUGUAGGCUGGUUAUCCAGGCAAAUCCGGAUAAUCAAGGCUGAGGUGUGAUGACGAGGCACUACGGUGCUGAAGUAACAAAUGCCCUGCUUCCAGGAAAAGCCUCUAAGCAUCAGGUAACAUCAAAUCGUACCCCAAACCGACACAGGUGGUCAGGUAGAGAAUACCAAGGCGCUUGAGAGAACUCGGGUGAAGGAACUAGGCAAAAUGGUGCCGUAACUUCGGGAGAAGGCACGCUGGUGUGUAGGUGAAGUCCCUGCGGAUGGAGCUGAGACCAGUCGAAGAUACCAGCUGGCUGCAACUGUUUAUUAAAAACACAGCACUGUGCAAACACGAAAGUGGACGUAUACGGUGUGACGCCUGCCCGGUGCCGGAAGGUUAAUUGAUGGGGUUAUCCGUAAGGAGAAGCUCUUGAUCGAAGCCCCGGUAAACGGCGGCCGUAACUAUAACGGUCCUAAGGUAGCGAAAUUCCUUGUCGGGUAAGUUCCGACCUGCACGAAUGGCGUAAUGAUGGCCAGGCUGUCUCCACCCGAGACUCAGUGAAAUUGAACUCGCUGUGAAGAUGCAGUGUACCCGCGGCAAGACGGAAAGACCCCGUGAACCUUUACUAUAGCUUGACACUGAACAUUGAGCCUUGAUGUGUAGGAUAGGUGGGAGGCUUUGAAGCGUGGACGCCAGUCUGCGUGGAGCCAACCUUGAAAUACCACCCUUUAAUGUUUGAUGUUCUAACGUUGGCCCCUGACCGGGGUUGCGGACAGUGUCUGGUGGGUAGUUUGACUGGGGCGGUCUCCUCCCAAAGCGUAACGGAGGAGCACGAAGGUUAGCUAAUCCUGGUCGGACAUCAGGAGGUUAGUGCAAUGGCAUAAGCUAGCUUGACUGCGAGCGUGACGGCGCGAGCAGGUGCGAAAGCAGGUCAUAGUGAUCCGGUGGUUCUGAAUGGAAGGGCCAUCGCUCAACGGAUAAAAGGUACUCCGGGGAUAACAGGCUGAUACCGCCCAAGAGUUCAUAUCGACGGCGGUGUUUGGCACCUCGAUGUCGGCUCAUCACAUCCUGGGGCUGAAGUAGGUCCCAAGGGUAUGGCUGUUCGCCAUUUAAAGUGGUACGCGAGCUGGGUUUAGAACGUCGUGAGACAGUUCGGUCCCUAUCUGCCGUGGGCGCUGGAGAAUUGAGGGGGGCUGCUCCUAGUACGAGAGGACCGGAGUGGACGCAUCACUGGUGUUCGGGUUGUCAUGCCAAUGGCACUGCCCGGUAGCUAAAUGCGGAAGAGAUAAGUGCUGAAAGCAUCUAAGCACGAAACUUGCCCCGAGAUGAGUUCUCCCUGAGACUUUAAGUCUCCUGAAGGAACGUUAAAGACGAUGACGUUGAUAGGCCGGGUGUGUAAGCGCAGCGAUGCGUUGAGCUAACCGGUACUAAUGAACCGUGAGGCUUAACCUU
rnacentral:rRNA from 2 species